GAUGAAGAACGCAGCGAAAUGCGAUAAGUAAUGUGAAUCGCAGAAUUCAGUGAAUCAUCGAAUCUUUGAACGCACAUUGCGCCCGCCAGUAUUCUGGCGGGCAUGCCUGUUCGAGCGUCAUUACAACCCUCAGGCCCCCGGGCCUGGCGUUGGGGAUCGGCGGAGCCCCCCGUGGGCACACGCCGUCCCCCAAAUACAGUGGCGGUCCCGCCGCAGCUUCCAUCGCGUAGUAGCUAACACCUCGCGACUGGAGAGCGGCGCGGCCACGCCGUAAAACACCCAACUCUUCUGAAGUUGACCUCGAAUCAGGUAGGAAUACCCGCUGAACUUAAGCAUAUCAAUAAGCGGAGGA
rnacentral:misc_RNA from 1 species